rnacentral:rRNA from 1 species
UACGGGGGGGGUAAGCGUUGUUCGGAAUUACUGGGCGUAAAGGGCUCGUAGGCGGCCAACUAAGUCAGACGUGAAAUCCCUCAGCUUAACUGGGGAACUGCGUCUGAUACUGGAUGGCUUGGAUUCGGGAGAGGAAUGCGGAAUUCCAGGUGUAGCGGUGAAAUGCGUAGAUAUCUGGAGGAACACCGGUGGCGAAGGCAGCUCUCUGGCCUAUAACUGACGCUGAGGUGCGAAAGCGUGGGGAGCAAACGGG